CAGCAGCCACGGUAAUACGGAGGGUGCAAGCGUUAAUCGGAAUUACUGGGCGUAAAGCGCACGCAGGCGGUUUGUUAAGUCAGAUGUGAAAUCCCCGGGCUCAACCUGGGAACUGCAUUUGAAACUGGCAAGCUAGAGUCUCGUAGAGGGGGGUAGAAUUCCAGGUGUAGCGGUGAAAUGCGUAGAGAUCUGGAGGAAUACCGGUGGCGAAGGCGGCCCCCUGGACGAAGACUGACGCUCAGGUGCGAAAGCGUGGGGAGCAAACAGGAUUAGAUACCCGAGUAGUCCCUGUCUCUUAUAC
rnacentral:rRNA from 1 species